rnacentral:rRNA from 1 species
UACAGAGGGUGCAAGCGUUAAUCGGAGUUACUGGGCGUAAAGGGCGCGUAGGCGGAUUAUUAAGUUGGAUGUGAAAUCCCUGGGCUUAACCUAGGAAUUGCAUACAAAACUGGUAAUCUGGAGUACUGUAGAGGGUAGUGGAAUUUCCGGUGUAGCGGUGAAAUGCGUAGAGAUCGGAAGGAACACCAGUGGCGAAGGCGGCUACCUGGACAGAUACUGACGCUGAGGCGCGAAAGCGUGGGGAGCAAACAGG